rnacentral:rRNA from 1 species
AUUAAGAUAGCUUGCUAUUUUUAUGAAGAGCGGCGAACGGGUGAGUAACGCGUGGGAAAUCUGCCGAGUAGCGGGGGACAACGUUUGGAAACGAACGCUAAUACCGCAUAACAAUGAGAAUCGCAUGAUUCUUAUUUAAAAGAAGCAAUUGCUUCACUACUUGAUGAUCCCGCGUUGUAUUAGCUAGUUGGUAGUGUAAAGGACUACCAAGGCGAUGAUACAUAGCCGACCUGAGAGGGUGAUCGGCCACACUGGGACUGAGACACGGCCCAGACUCCUACGGGAGGCAGCAGUAGGGAAUCUUCGGCAAUGGGGGCAACCCUGACCGAGCAACGCCGCGUGAGUGAAGAAAGUUUUCGGAUCGUAAAACUCUGUUGUUAGAGAAGAACGUUAAGUAGAGUGGAAAAUUACUUAAGUGACGGUAUCUAACCAGAAAGGGACGGCUAACUACGUGCCAGCAGCCGCGGUAAUACGUAGGUCCCAAGCGUUGUCCGGAUUUAUUGGGCGUAAAGCGAGCGCAGGUGGUUUCUUAAGUCUGAU